rnacentral:rRNA from 1 species
GAUGAACGCUGGCGGCGUGCCUAAUACAUGCAAGUCGAGCGAACAGAUGAUGAUCUUGCUCCUCUGACGUUAGCGGCGGACGUGUGAGUAACACGUGUAUCACCUACCUAUCAGACUGGGAUAACUUCGGGAAACCGGCGCUAAUACCGGAUAAUCUCUUGCACCGCAUUGAUCAAUAGUGAAAGACGGCUUUUCUGUCACUUAUAGCUGGAUCCGCGCCGCAUUAGCUAGUUGGUAAGGUAACGGCUUACCAAGGCAACGAUGCGUAGCCGACCUGAGAGGGUGAUAGGCGACACUGGAACGGGAACACGGUCAAGACUCCUAAGGGAGGCAGCAGUAGGGAAUCGGCCGCAAUGGGCGAGAGCAUGACGGAGCAACGCCGCGUGAGUGAUGAAGGUGUUCGGAGCGGAAAACUCUGUUAUGAGGGAAGAACAAAUGUGUAAGGAACUAUGCACGGCUUGACGGUACCGAAUCAGAAAGCCACGGCUAACUACGUG